rnacentral:rRNA from 1 species
UUUCCGUAGGUGAACCUGCGGAAGGAUCAUUAGUGAAUUUAAAAAAUACAGAAUUGGAUUGAAAAAAAUCCAAAUUCUUAUUUCUUUAUUCUUCUCUUCCACUGUGAAAUUUUAAACUAUUCGGGCGGUCUUUUGGCCGGUCGAGGUUUAGAGAUGGGA